AACCACAAGGAUUCAUCAUCCUUUAGGAAGCAAAUGGUUAGCGGCUGAUUAUCUUCGAUACCUCGAUUCCCUUCGCCCGCUCCAGACAAAUAUCUUCUAGUAUUUACUAAAUCCACGAAUUUACAGCAAUUUUCCGUGUCGGCCCCACAGUACACAGGGUUU
rnacentral:sRNA from 1 species